rnacentral:misc_RNA from 1 species
UUUGGUUGCUUGCUUGCAUUUGUGCUAUGUGGGUGGCUACUAGUCGGGUGGUUUCGGAAAAUGUUUACCGUAAAGGUGCAUGAGUGGUGUUUGGUUUGUUACGGGUGGUUGGAUGUCUUCUAGCGAAGCAACUUCCAUGCGUGCUUACCUCUUCAUUUACGUAGCAAGGCUUAAUUUAGUGUUGCUCGUAUUGUGGGUUUACUGUGUUGCGUACCUAAUCGAAGGCAUUGUAUGGACCGAAUGAAUAUGUAUCCGUCAUGCAUCGCACAAGUGGUGCAUGAUGGACCAGUAAGUGGUCUUAGUAAUCCAUCUUGUCGUUGUGUACACAUCGGCGAUGUGGCUUGCUGAGUUUCGCUUGGUGUCUUGGAUAUGGAACCUAAUGUGGGCAUGGGUCUUAAAUGAUCUUUUUAUGUCCUUGUUUAGCGUUCUCGCUUCUCUAAAACGAUCACUCGUCGCGUGUUGGCUAGUCCAUGCGUGGCGGGUUGCGUCGAAGAGGAAU